rnacentral:rRNA from 1 species
GAUGAACGCUGGCGGCGUGCCUAAUACAUGCCAGUCGAGCGAACGGACGAGAAGCUUGCUUCUCUGAUGUUAGCGGCGGACGGGUGAGUAACACGUGGAUAACCUACCUAUAAGACUGGGAUAACUUCGGGAAACCGGAGCUAAUACCGGAUGAUAUUUUGAACCGCAUGGUUCAAAAGUGAAAGACGGUCUUGCUGUCACUUAUAGAUGGAUCCGCGCUGCAUUAGCUAGUUGGUAAGGUAACGGCUUACCAAGGCAACGAUGCAUAGCCGACCUGAGAGGGUGAUCGGCCACACUGGAACUGAGACACGGUCCAGACUCCUACGGGAGGCAGCAGUAGGGAAUCUUCCGCAAUGGGCGAAGGCCUGACGGAGCAACGCCGCGUGAGUGAUGAAGGUCUUCGGAUCGUAAAACUCUGUUAUUAGGGAAGAACAUAUGUGUAAGUAACUGUGCACAUCUUGACGGUACCUAAUCAGAAAGCCACGGCUAACUACGUG